GGGGUGAUCAGAGUAUCUACAUCGUUGGAUUGUUGCAAUGAUUAAAUGAGUGAAGUAUGUGAAGGGUACAGAGCAGUUGGCUUCCAAAUAGGAAGUGCUGUGUAAGUCACUAAAACGUGAUGAGUUAUACAUUAUUAUCCCCAUUUAUGGACAAGGAAACUGGAAAGACACAGUUUGAGAAACCUAAGGUUGCAGAAGAAGGAAGUCAAACACCAGAAUUCCAGAUCAGGCCUUCCCGACUCCAAGAUCAAUGUCCUUAAUCAUUAUGGGCCAUUAACCUUUCUGAAUCCCAUGGAGAAUAUUUAAUACUUUUCGCCAGAUUCAAGAUGUCCAAAGACUCUAAGGCUCAGACUGACAGUGUAUUUGUAGAGGGUGAAAGCAGUGUCUUUACAGCAAAAGCAGCAGAGGGAGAGAUGUCUUUCUUAAGAAGGUGAGAGACAAAUGUCAUCAAGAUAUCCUU